rnacentral:lncRNA from 1 species
UUCUUUCAAUAUACAGAAAUACUCUACACAGACAAACACACAAGGUGUGUUUACCUGUGUGCUUAAAAGAAAGUCACCAUUUCUCUCCACUGCAAGUCUGAAAACCUCUUUCCAACAUCUACUUGCGUACGUGCUGGCUAUUUCGCUGUUCUGUGUGGGGCCUUUCACAGUCUGCCGUUCUGACUCACCACUGGGGCUUUAAGAAGACUUUAAUACAUAUGAGACACAUUCUGGUUUGUCACAGGCAGAAUAAUGACCUCUAAAGAUGUCCACAUCCUAAGCCCUGGAACCUGGGAAUACGUUACUUUACAAGGCAAAAGGGAUGUUACAGAUGUGAUCAACAAAGGAUGCUGAGAUGCGGAGAUUAUCCUGGAUUAUCUGGGUGGGUUCAAACUAAUCACACGAGCCCUUAAAAGCAGAGAACUCUUCCGAGCUGGGCUCAGGGAGAUGCAGAAGAAGAAAGUCAGAGCGCUGAGGCCUGAGAAGGACAUGACCUGCCAUUGCUGGCUUUGAAGAUGGAAGGAGCCAUGAGCCAGGGAAUGAAGGGGCCUCUAGAAGCCAGGAAUCACCCCUAUCCGAUAGCCAACAAGGGAAUGAGGACCUCAGAUGUCAGCAUGGAACUGAGUUCUGCCAACAACUUACGUGAGUCUGAAGCAGAUUCUCCUCCAGAGCGUUCAUUUAGGAGCUCUGCCGAUACCUUUUACCAGCAGUCAUAUUUAAGUAGUCUCCGAGUUUAUGGAAAACAUCAGCUCUCCUAGUCCCUUCAAAGCAAGAGUUUCCAAGAACCAUUUCAUCUUCAAAGUCAAACCUUCUACAACCGGAGUUUGAAAACAUCAACUGUUACCAUAAGCUGGGAAAGGUUUAUUUUAGUUUGAUUUUUUUUCUUCUUCUCCCCAAAGCCCCACAGUACAUAGUUGUAUAUUCUAGUUGUAGGUCCUUCUAGUUGUGGCAUGUGAACGCCGCCUCAGCAUGGCUUGAUGAGCAGUGCCACGUCCGUGCCCAGGAUCUGAACCAGCGAAACCCCGGGCUGCAGAAGCGGAACGUGCGAACUUAACCACUCGGCCACGGGGCCGGCCCUGAUUUUCUAAAGAAUAUAUAAACUCACCUGAAUUCUAUACCCUCUACCCACA